AUUGAACGCUGGCGGCAGGCCUAACACAUGCAAGUCGAGCGGAGAGGCGGACGGGCGAGUAAUGCCUAGGCAUCUGCCUGGUCGUGGGGGCUAACGUCAGGAAACGGGCGCUAAUACCGCAUACUAUAAGAUGGGCCUAGGUCGGAUUAGCUAGUUGGUGGGGUAAAGGCCUCCCAAGGCGACGACCCGUAACUGGUCUGAGGGGAUGAUCAGUCACACUGGAACUGCGAGACGGUCCAGACUCCUACGGUAGGCAGCAGUGGGGAAUAUUGUACAAUGGGCGAGAGCCUGAUCCAGCCAUGCCGCGUGUGUGAAGAAGGUCUUCGGAUUGUAAAGCACUUUAAGUUGGGAGGCGUUACCAACAGAAUAAGCACCGGCUAACUUCGUGCCAGCAGCCGCGGUAAUAC
rnacentral:rRNA from 1 species